CUUUAGUCAGUAUGGUGGGCGUGAUAUUUUCAUUCAAAUCCUAUUUUCAAACGCCCACCAUACUGACUAAAGCUUGAAGCUCCAAGGAGACCUCGCGUUCAUAUUUAAGCUUUCUAAACCCCCUACUCAGGAGGUAGUUGACACUCUGCCACCACUCCACUUCAUUUACAGCCCCAGGCUACCCUUCCUCUCUCUGACCGGAAGCUCAACCUUCUCCGCAAUGACUCCCACUGGAAUUCUCGCCGGUCUCUUCCUCCUUUUAGCCUUGUACUGUGGCAUUGACCCUCUUAAGCACAGUGCUAUCUCAGAAUUCCCAGACUUCAAGGCCGUGAAAGUUGACAUGCCGGACUGGUCAUUGGUUCCUACCGAGAAAGACAAGGAUAACUUACUGCAAAGAUCUGAAAUUAAGUUUCUCAAUCAAGUUCAAGGCCCUGAGAGUAUCGCCUUUGACCCUCUUGGCCGGGGGCCUUACACUGGUCUUGCGGAUGGGAGAAUCGUGUUCUGGGAUGGUCAUAAAUGGAUUGAUUUUGCUUAUACUUCACCUUAUAGAUCAGAAAUUUGCAACCCAAAACCAUCACCUUUGAGUUAUUUGAAGAAUGAGCACAUUUGUGGCAGGCCUUUGGGGCUUCGAUUUGAUAAGAAAACCGGUGAUUUAUACAUUGCUGAUGCAUAUUUUGGGCUGUUGAAGGUGGGGCCAGAAGGUGGCUUGGCAACAUCACUAACAACUGAAGCAGAAGGGAUCCCACUGCAGUUUACCAAUGAUCUAGACAUUGAUGAUCGAGGGAACAUUUAUUUCACAGAUAGUAGCACUCAAUACCAGAGGAGGUAGGCUUUUGGUGAUUUUACUCAUUGGCUGUAAUUGCAUUUGAUAUUUAUUUCCCUUUAGUGCAUGUAACACUAACAGAAUGCUGAGAACAACUUUGUUAUGUGACCAUGUCAGGACCAUCCAAAUGCCACUCACCUUUUGUGACAGGAAACAGUUUAUUGAGAGAUUUCUCAUCGUGUUUCUAUAUUGAAGAUGCUAUAAUAAAAUGCCGCUUAAGCUGUGGUAUGUAGAAAGAGAAUAGAAUGCAGUUGAGAAGAAAUUAUAAUCUUGACUAAGGAGGGUGACCCAUUUAUUAAGCUGGAGGACAUCUAGAUAUGUAAUUAUGCCUUGUGUUUACCCUGAUUUUCGUUUUUGGAUUUCUAAUCCCUAACUCGUCAUUCCUGCUUAUUCUUUUCCUCAAAUUGGACUGCCAGACUUUCUUUUUUUUUUGAGCUGGAUUACAGACCUUGUUACCGCUAGUUUCCUAACCAUGUGACUGUUAUAAGCCUCACUUCUUGAUUACAUCAAAUGCCACACAUUAUAGUCUGUCGUUUAUUCUGAUCCAAUUAAAUCAUGUGCAAAUUCAUUAGUCCAAUUUGUCUAAAAAGUCACCCUUUGUCUUAAGCUUGCUUUUAUACCAUUAUAGAGAACUCUUGGUGUUGCUUAUAGUCUUCCUUGUGUUAAGUGCUAUUAUAUGGUUAUCAUGCAUUACUUUUACACCAUAGUAUCUUUCAGGAACUUCAUGCAAUUGGUUUUUUCUGCCGAUGAUAGCGGGAGGGUUCUAAAGUACAAUCCAAUUACAAAGGAAACCACUGUCCUUGUAAGGAAUCUUCAAUUUCCAAAUGGUGUGUCCUUAAGCAAGGAUGGUACCUUCUUUGUUUUCUGUGAAGGAUCCCUUGGCAGAUUGCGCAAGUACUGGCUGAAAGGCGAGAAAGCAGGGACUUCAGAAGUAUUUGCCAUCUUACCAGGAUUUCCUGACAAUGUCAGGACAAAUGCAGAGGGCAACUUUUGGGUAGCAGUUCACUGUCGUCGUACCUUUUAUAGUUACAUGUGUGCAAGAUACCCUAAACUGAGGAUGUUCUUGCUCAAGCUUCCAAUUCCAACCAAGAUCCAGUACCUGCUUCACAUUGGGGGCCGGCUUCAUGCAGUGGUCGCUAAAUACAGUCCAGAAGGUAAGCUUUUGCAGGUUUUGGAGGACAGUCAGGGGAAGGUUGUCAAAGCAAUUAGUGAAGUGGAAGAGAAGGAUGGGAAACUGUGGAUGGGGAGUGUUCUGAUGCCUUUUGUUGGAGUUUACAAAUUGGCUUGAGGUAGAAGGAAGAUGUCAUUUUAGAAAUAGCUAGUUCCUUGUGCCUUUUCAGUCUUCGUUUGCUGUAGAAUCAUGUUGAAAUGUGUCGCGAAAUUGUGGAAUCUGUUCCAGGGUUUUUACUCAUAAUUUUAGCAAUAUGUGUACUGAUAUCUUCCUUUGCAUUUGAUUUAACUACUUACUAUGUUGUGAAUUCUGAGGCCAUGCAAAAAUCAGUAUUUUCAGGCAAUAACUAGGCUGCGACUAGUUGGCCAUGAGCAGUCGUAAACGAACUCAUGCGGGGAAAAUUUGUGCUUCAAAGACUCUGCUGUAUGAACUCUGACAAUUUCAGUUCCUUGGAUAUCAAUUUACCAAAUGAUUGUGAUUAUCA
rnacentral:misc_RNA from 1 species